rnacentral:rRNA from 1 species
GAUGAACGCUGGCGGCGUGCUUAACACAUGCCAGUCGAACGGAAAGGCCCAAGCUUGCUUGGGUACUCGAGUGGCGAACGGGUGAGUAACACGUGGGUGAUCUGCCCUGCACUUCGGGAUAAGCCUGGGAAACUGGGUCUAAUACUGGAUAGGACCACUUCUUGGAUGUUGUGGUGGAAAGUUUUUUCGGUGUGGGAUGAGCUCGCGGCCUAUCAGCUUGUUGGUGGGGUAAUGGCCUACCAAGGCGUCGACGGGUAGCCGGCCUGAGAGGGUGUACGGCCACAUUGGGACUGAGAGACGGCCCAGACUCCUACGGGAGGCAGCAGUGGGGAAGAUUGCACAAGGGGCGCAAGCCUGAUGCAGCGACGCCGCGUGGGGGAUGACGGCCUUCGGGUUGUAAACUCCCUUCGCUAGGGACGAAGCGUUUUGUGACGGUACCUGGAGAAGAAGCACCGGCUAACUACGUG